AUUCUUCCCGCCUUAUAAAAUUUCGUCCUUGAAAUUUUCAGUAUCAAUUCACUAUCCACCAAUGCAACAAUUCAAACAAAUAAUGAUGCACAAACACGUUCACACUUCAGGUAUAUCCAGAUUUAGCUAACUCAAGUUCGACCACAUUGUACCUAAACUCACAAAUACAGUCAUUGCACGACUUCAACACCAAUCUUUGUACAAGCACAAAGAAUGCCACUACGAAUUCAUCAAUAUACUCAUGAUUCAAUUAACAAUCAUCAACAUUCAAGAUUCGACUGUAAAAUCAAUAACAAUACAUUCCAACUCUAUGACACAAUUUCUAACAUCCAAGGGUAAAGGUACUCAGACCUAAUACCUAAGUUCUAAUACCACUAAAAGUUGUCACGACCCAAUCCCGACAUAUGACCAAGAUCGACAUGUGACGUCACCAUAUUCCUAUUUAUCUAUGAUGCCUCUCCUCCGAGACAAGACCAAAACACAAUCAAUGAUUUAACCACACAUUCAUUUUCUUUUAUUUCAUGGUUGUAUCUAACCUUAGCGUUAGACUGCCUAGGUAUCCUAAGAAGGGAUCAAACCAUUCGUAGUUCACCAAUCACUAUACUCAGACAUUUAUCCAAGUGCGUUCUAAUAGGAAGGCAUAGCAUUCCUCAAUCAAUUAUUGGGACUUAACAACCAUGAAUUACUAGAUUCAGGGCUACAUAACAAAUCCACAUGACAAUCAAGAUUUCCAUUUCAUCCAUCCUAUAAAUCACUAUGUUUCAACAUAAUACCGCAAUUUAUAGCAUGCAACAUCUCAAAGACAACAACGAAGCACAAUAUUAUUCUCUAGCCACAUUGCUCAAUGAAUCUGAUCAUAGUAAUAGCAAUCAUAUCCAACAACAUUCCACAAUCACUCCAAUUAAUCAAUCCCAAGAAUCAAAGAUGCACGAUAUUAACAUUUAACUACAUUAAUCAAUCAAUAAGAUCACAUAUCAAUUCACGAAAUUUAGUAAAUGAACUCUACUCUAAAUAAUUCCCUACCUGGAUUCCAAGUAAUAACAUGAUAAUUCUAAUUUAUAAACACAACAUCUACUGUGAGCAAUUCCUAUUCACUCGAAUCUAGGGUCGAACUAACCUUAUGGAAAUGAACAAGAGUAGGGAUUACAGACUACUCAACGAAAUCUAACUAAAAUAUGAUCGCCUAUCGAAAUGUACCAAGUACAACAAAUCCUAAUCACCCAUAGAAUGCAUAUGGUCCCCUUUUGCGGAUAUACCAAGCAUAACCAUAUGCAUAUUCUAAUCGUGUAGGCAGUGAUUACCCAUCACGGAUAUACCAAGCAUGAUCACCCCUGAAAUACGUAUGGUCCCCUAUCGCGGAUAUAUCAAGCAGGACCACAUCCUAACUCUAGGUAGUGAUCACCCAUCGCAGAUAUACCAAGCAUGAUCACUCCUAGAAUGUGUAUGGUCCCCCAUUAAGGAUAAACCAAGCAGAAUCAUAAGCAUAGUUUAAUCGUGCAGGCGGUGAUCACCCAUCACAGAUAUACCAAGCAAUCAUGAUCACCCCUGAAAUACGUAUGCUCCCCUAUCGUGGAUAUACCAAGCAAAACCAUCCAGGUACCACUACUACAUGGUGCAGUUAGAUCAACACACAACAUCCUUACCCCUAUCUCAACCCCUAUGAAUUACGACGUAAUCGCCUGAACUAUCAAUUUCUCAUAACCACUAACUAACAUGUCACACAAGCAUACAAGUUCUAUGGAAUACUUCUAAUAGGAUUCUAGGCUCACAUUGUCAUUCAUAUUAUCAAGAAGAUAAAUACACAUCUAUAUCACAAUAAGGUAUCCUAUACACGUAAACUGAGGUAUAUAUUAUCUGGGAUAGCUCACUAAACCCUACUUAGUCUCUAGUAUUACUAAUUUUAGUAUUCAAGAACGAUUACGAACAUUUUGAUCAAAAUCAACCCUAGUAGAUCAAUCAGAAAGAUCCGCCCAUUGGAUUUCCAAUUAGUAAGUUCUAAAGGUCCUCAAAUAUUAUGUAUAACAACAUAUUAAAGUUUGGUAACGAUCUAACGGUCAGAUCGUCGAUUGUUAUAAUGAUUAAGUGGCGACCUUUAACAAAAAUAUGCCCAAAUGACAGGAUUUUGUCAAUCGAUUUCGCAUAUAGAUUCAGGGUAUCGAAUUUAGCCUAGAAAGACAUAGUUGGCCCACUGGCCUCGCACUGCCGC
rnacentral:lncRNA from 1 species